rnacentral:rRNA from 1 species
CCUACGGGCGGCAGCAGUGGGGGAUAUUGGACAAUGGGGGGAACCCUGAUCCAGCGACGCCGCGUGAGUGAAGAAGUAUCUCGGUAUGUAAAGCUCUAUCAGCAGGGAAGAAGAAAUGAGGGUACCUGAGUAAGAAGCCCCGGCUAACUAAGUUCCAGCAGCAGCGGGAAUACGUAGGGGGCAAGCGGUAUCCGGAAUUACUGGGUUGUAAGGGAGCGUAGACGGUGAUGUAAGUGUGGAGUGAAAGGCGGGGGGCCAACCCCCGGACUGCUCUGGAAACUAUGUGACUGGAGUGCAGGAGAGGUGAGCAGAAUUCCUAGUGUAGCGGUGAAAUGCGUAGAUAUUAGGAGGAACACCAGUGGCGAAGGCGGCUCACUGGACUGUAACUGACGUUGAGGCUCGAAAGCGUGGGGAGCAAACAGGAUUAGAUACCCGAGUAGUC